rnacentral:rRNA from 1 species
CAUGGCUCAGGAUGAACGCUAGCGGGAGGCCUAACACAUGCAAGCCGAGCGGUAGAGAUUCUUCGGAAUCUUGAGAGCGGCGUACGGGUGCGGAACACGUGUGCAACCUGCCUUUAUCAGGGAGAUAGCCUUUCGAAAGGAAGAUUAAUACCCCAUAAUAUAUUAAGUGGCAUCACUUGAUAUUGAAAACUACGGUGGAUAGAGAUGGGCACGCGCAAGAUUAGAUAGUUGGUAGGGUAACGGCCUACCAAGUCUACGAUCUUUAGGGGGCCUGAGAGGGUGAUCCCCCACACUGGUACUGAGACACGGACCAGACUCCUACGGGAGGCAGCAGUGAGGAAUAUUGGACAAUGGGUGCAAGCCUGAUCCAGCCAUCCCGCGUGAAGGACGACGGCCCUAUGGGUUGUAAACUUCUUUUGUAUAGGGAUAAACCUAGAUACGUGUAUCUAGCUGAAGGUACUAUACGAAUAAGCACCGGCUAACUCCGUCCAGCAGCCGCGGUAAUACGGAGGGUGCAAGCGUUAUCCGGAUUUAUUGGGUUUAAAGGGUCCGUAGGCGGAUCUGUAAGUCAGUGGUGAAAUCUCACAGCUUAACUGUGAAACUGCCAUUGAUACUGCAGGUCUUGAGUGUUGUUGAAGUAGCUGGAAUAAGUAGUGUAGCGGUGAAAUGCAUAGAUAUUACUUAGAACACCAAUUGCGAAGGCAGGUUACUAAGCAACAACUGACGCUGAUGGACGAAAGCGUGGGGAGCGAACAGGAUUAGAUACCCUGGUAGUCCACGCCGUAAACGAUGCUAACUCGUUUUUGGAUUUUCGGAUUCAGAGACUAAGCGAAAGUGAUAAGUUAGCCACCUGGGGAGUACGUUCGCAAGAAUGAAACUCAAAGGAAUUGACGGGGGCCCGCACAAGCGGUGGAUUAUGUGGUUUAAUUCGAUGAUACGCGAGGAACCUUACCAAGGCUUAAAUGGGAAAUGACAGGUUUAGAAAUAGACUUUUCUUCGGACAUUUUUCAAGGUGCUGCAUGGUUGUCGUCAGCUCGUGCCGUGAGGUGUUAGGUUAAGUCCUGCAACGAGCGCAACCCCUGUCACUAGUUGCCAUCAUUAAGUUGGGGACUCUAGUGAGACUGCCUACGCAAGUAGAGAGGAAGGUGGGGAUGACGUCAAAUCAUCACGGCCCUUACGCCUUGGGCCACACACGUAAUACAAUGGCCAGUACAGAGGGCAGCUACACAGCGAUGUGAUGCAAAUCUCGAAAGCUGGUCUCAGUUCGGAUUGGAGUCUGCAACUCGACUCUAUGAAGCUGGAAUCGCUAGUAAUCGCGCAUCAGCCAUGGCGCGGUGAAUACGUUCCCGGGCCUUGUACACACCGCCCGUCAAGCCAUGGAAGUCUGGGGUACCUGAAGUCGGUGACC